GUCAGAUUUGCUCUAAAUGCUUUGGUUUCAGAGUUAUAAGCCAAAAUCUACAUUUUACCCCUAUGUUCUAUUUCUAGCAAUGGCGGCCAUCUUGGUUGUUUGGUCGGGUCACCGGACACAUUUUUGAAACUAGAUACUCCAAUGAUGAUUGUGGCUAAGUUUGGUAAAAUUUGGCCUAGUAGUUUCAGAGGAGAAGAUUUUU
rnacentral:lncRNA from 1 species